UUGUGCUAAGGUAGCAUAAUCAUUUGUCUUUUAAUUGAAGACUAGAACAAAAGAUUUAACAAUUCAAUCAAUAUAUAAAAUUAAAUAUAAUAAUUUAUUUUAAAUGUAAAAAAACAUUUAUAAUUUAGGAAGACGACAAGACCCUAUUAAACUUAACUGUAGUUUAACUGGGGCAGUUAAUCAAUUAUAAUUUUAAUAAAAAACAAUAAUAUAAAAGAUCCAAUAAAAUUGAUUAAAUGAUCAAGUUACUAUAGGGAUAACAGCGUAAUAUUUAUCUAAAGAUCUAAUUUAAAUAAAAGAUUACGACCUCGAUGUUGAAUUAAUAGCCUAAAUUAUUGCAAUAAGUAAAUAAAG
rnacentral:rRNA from 1 species